rnacentral:tRNA from 1 species
CAUUAUGAAGCUAAUUUUAGCAUUAACCUUUUAAGUUAAAGAUUAGGAGGUANGAUCUCCUCAUAAUGA